rnacentral:rRNA from 1 species
GCUUACGGCCAUAUCAGCCUGGGUACUCCCGAUCUCGUCUGAUCUCGGAAGCUAAGUAGGGUCGGGCCUGGUUAGUACUUGGAUGGUAGACCGCCUGGGAAUACAAGGUGUUGUAAGCA